rnacentral:lncRNA from 1 species
AGAGAAGCAGUAAAGCGAAUGUCUCGCUCCCAUGUAUUUGGAGAUUAGUUACAAUUGUGUGAACAAGUUGCUGAGCAAUAAGGAAGAAAGAGUAAUUCUUCUCUCACAAAGGAAUGCUGAGCCAUCCCAGCUCAUUUAUUUAUUAAACACACACUUAAAUAAUGUUUAUUGAAUGCCAGAACAAAGAAGAUACAUUAAACACACCUCGGAUACAUUUUCAUCAAAAUUUCAGAGAUAUUCAGUUGCAAAUGAGCAGGUGAACAUGACCGUGAUGUCAGCUUGGAUAAUCAAGACAACCAUUUUUUAAAUUUCUCCUCAUCCAUGCAUUCCCCAACCAGUCCACCCAGAAUUCCAUCCUCACCACUUCACUGAAACAGCUCUCAGUUGCCCAAGCCAAUGGACAUGUUUCAGAUCCUGAGAAUACAAGACAAACGAUCAGCACUAAGCUUGAAGAACUUGUCAACUCCUGGGAAAGAGACGCAGGGGUUUAUAGGAAAUACAAGGGAUGGAAGAGCUGGUUAAACAAUACCAUGAAGAAGCCAGCAGAGGAAUCCAGAAUGUGGAACCUUCUACAAUAUACCUGAUCCAUCUUGUCAACAAGUCAAUGGCAUGAGGAAAAAAUGGCAUCUGUGUGUCGAUGGGAGAGAAACUGUUGAUGAUGAUUAGAGUCUAAGGGUACAGAACAAACCAAUGCAACCUGUGGAACAUUUUUGGAUCCUGAUUAAAACGAACCAACUGCAAACAUUGGGGGGAUGGUUGCGGGGAAAUUAGAAUAUUGGAUGAUAUUAAGGAAUUGCUACAUUUUCUUAAGUGUGAUAUUAGCA